CCUUUAUCACCGACCUGCCUGUAAAUGUACAAAUCCCUGGAUGAAGGUUUAUUUCACCGUUCUGUGGCUAACACCGUACCGUCGGCUGUUGUUUUAGCGGGUUGCUGACUGCAGGGAGCAUCACUGAUUCUGAGAAGCCUACGCCGACGUUGCCUGGGGACGGCGGAAGGCCUGUGUGCUUCUGUCGUUCCUUGCCACGCGUGUCCGGGGGGCCGGCCUGAGGCCGCCCUCCCGCGCACUGCCCGGCCGCCGCGGCACAGCGCCGGGGGCAGCCAUGCAUCGCACGCAUCUUGAUGUCUGCUGGUGCUACAGCGUGGGGGCCCGAGGGGGAGAACGUCUCCCAGAGCUUCUCCCCGUUCUUUUGCGGUGGGGAGGAGGCAGCUGCAGCGCAGGGCUCGACCUACUGCACCGUCCCGCCGCCGGGUUAAACACGGGAAUAUCGCAUUUUCAGUACUGUUAACACGUGGCAAAAGGGACAUCAGCCUGCAAACCGAGAGACACGGUGGCUGGAAGAUAGGUGAGGCGACAACCUCCACUGACUUCUCCCCGCUCGGAGCCUGUUACCGCCUCACGUGUGCUGAGGUCUGCGUACUCCCCAGUACAGGCUUGGGUGAAAAAGGUUGGAAGUAGGAGCUGCACAGCUUUCAGACCGGGAUAUUUUUAUGCAAAUAUGUGUUAUUUUUGCACAAUGCUUUUUUUUUUUUUUUUAAUAUUAUUUUUGUUAUCUGAAGCUGCUGAACCAUCUAGUAUUUAGUGUAUUACAUUAAAGUUAAUGGCUCUGGUUUGGAGAGCUAUUCUGCUUUCCUUAAAAAUGUCAAGGGGGGGAAGAGUGAAGUGAUGUUUGUUUCCAUUUUUUUUUUCAUCAAAAAGUGGACAACAGUCAAAACUGAUUGAAAAAUAUAACCUUGAAGCAGAAGGUAUAUACACACACACGCACAUGAAGGGGAAUUUGCAGGUAAAUUAGUUUAUCGUGUAUUGCAAAGAUAUGUGUGUUAUCAAGUACAGCUACCCAACAUAUCACAUCACUAUUUGGCAUUAUAACAUGCAAGCACAUAAUUAACAUUUAAAAAAAAAAAAAAAAAGUCAAAACCCAAAGGCUGUCACUGUAAAUUGCUUCUAGUUGCUCUUCAGAUUAGAAUAAUUUUUCAUAAUUUUUCCUCCCGUUUACUGACUUUUCUAUUUCUCCUUCUUUUAUUUACUGUAAUACCAUAGGGGAAAAAAGUGAAAAGAUUACAUGAUUUUUGGAGGGCCACUUUUCAUACUAGAAAGAAAACCUAUUAAGCACAGUAUUUCCCAAGAAAAUCUCACGAGCAACUAGGUUUCAGAAAAUUAACAGCCCAACCAGAUCUUGGAAAGAUGAUGUUAUUCUUCAGAUUGUUCUACCCACAGUGACUGAAACAUCAGUUUCAGUUUUAUGUCACAGAAAUACGCAACUUCAUUUUAGUAGGGAAGUGACCUUCCCAUUGUAUAGACACUGGUGAGAACAAUGUUACUCAGUGUUGAUGUUCAUGUUUAGUGACAUAAAUUAUUGAAAUAUUGGGGAAAUGCCAUAAAAACAAUCCAACAUCAAGGAAAGAAACCUUAUGGUACAGGACCUACAGAGCAAAACUAAUACAGCUCUUUGGAAUGAUGAAAGAUGUACAAAUAAAAGCUACCUUAUUAUGAGGUAUUUUUCAA